GUGAGGAAUAUUGGACAAUGGGCGCAAGCCUGAUCCAGCCAUGCCGCGUGCAGGAAGACGCAUCUAUGGUGUGUAAACUGCUUUUGUACGGGAAGAAACACUCCCUCGUGAGGGAGCUUGACGGUACCGUAAGAAUAAGGAUCGGCCAACUCCGUGCCAGCAGCCGCGGUAAUACGGAGGAUCCAAGCGUUAUCCGGAAUCAUUGGGUUUAAAGGGUCCGUAGGCGGUUUAAUAAGUCAGUGGUGAAAGCCCAUCGCUCAACGAUGGAACGGCCAUUGAUACUGUUAGACUUGAAUUACAAGGAAGUAACUAGAAUAUGUAGUGUAGCGGUGAAAUGCUUAGAUAUUACAUGGAAUACCAAUUGCGAAGGCAGGUUACUACUUGUGGAUUGACGCUGAUGGACGAAAGCGUGGGGAGCGAACAGGAUUAGAUACCCGAGUAGUCC
rnacentral:rRNA from 1 species